rnacentral:rRNA from 1 species
AACGCAGCGAAGGGCGAUAAGUAAUGUGAAUUGCAGAAUUCAGUGAAUCAUCGAAUCUUUGAACGCACAUUGCGCCCUCUGGUAUUCCGGGGGGCAUGCCUGUUCGAGCGUCAUUACAACCCUCAAGCUCUGCUUGGUGUUGGGCAGCACCGGCCCCGGUGUGUCCUAAAAUCAGUGGCGGUGCCGUCUGGCUUCCAAGCGUAGUAACACUUCUCGCUUCCGGAGACCCGGCGUGUGCCUGCCAUGAAAUCACUACUUACUCAAGGUUGACCUCGGAUCAGGUAGGGAUACCCGCUGAACUUAA